rnacentral:sRNA from 1 species
GAACUCGAUUCCGAUUACCGCAGGUCUCUCGGACUAGUUGAGAGGAUCAUUGUCGUUCCAGGUGCAUGUGGUUCGUCCGAUAGAUCGUAGCGUGGCGAAAGCACCGGAGCAGUCUCAGGAAUUACAAUGCGCCUGUAAAACCGGCUAGGCUUCCGACAUAGACGCGGUGGUCUGUCCCCCGAGUGCCAUUCUUCUGGAUCUGAUGCAGCGCAAUGUUCUUUUGCGUCUGCCGACGGGCGAGCUCGGUCAACGUAAUACAACUGCUUCGAAUUGAGGCUACCAUAUCUUCUGCUAGAGCGGAACAUGUUCCCUCGGGAAUGUGAACAACAACCGGCCUGGCCUCUGGAUCUGGAGAUCCAUGAGAGUUAAUGGGCCGACAACAUCCCGCGAGGUUAUAAUAGUGGUCCCGAAAUCGAGAAGGCUGGGCCAGCGGACACAGCACUGACUACGGGGACUCCCAUCCGAGUCAGUGGAGAUAUAUCGGGUGCUGCUUUCCAUCGGCCAGCCCACGCACUGCUCUUGGGUAACGCAUUUGCGACACGAGCGAUGUCUGCCAUAGCCUCGGGAGAAUAGCGCAACACCUCUUGCCAUGGUUCGGGGAUUCUGGCAAACUCUACUAGUUCCACAAAUGCCCCGUUGGGGCAGUAUGCGUUCAGAACAGAUUGGGGAGGGGUUUGACCGAUCACCGUUCCAACCGGGAAUUGCCUGAAUGCGGCACGGUCCCGACGUCCCCGUGGGCCUACUAAGGCCCCGGUCAUAAUAUCGACGGGAACUGGGCCAUGGGAUGUGUUGAAUCUGUGGAUAGCUUCUACUAUCUCUGGACUAUCCGUCAUAGGGGGACGUGUCCGCAAGGCCAGAGGAGGAUGUCACCUGAAUAUCAUUGCGUUGGACGGCUCGGCCGGACUUGGGAGGACGCCCACGUGGGCGUCCUCCCCCACGCCUGUUUGCGGUUUCUUGGGGUAAGUAGUCCUCAUCUUCCAGUUUACGCGUUCGGGGCGAUGUUUUUCUCCCCUUAGACUGCGGUCCGGAUCGCCCACCACGAUUACUACCUCUGCCCCGACGCGGGCGGCUCGAACAAUCAGCCCGCGGUCUGGGGGGCGACGGAGAUGGUGACCUAGAUGAUGAAGGUGAAGACGGGACGAUUAGAGAAGAUGAUGACGGUGAGGAUGAUGAAGAGGAGGAAGAUGAAGAGGAUGGCGAUCUGGAAACAUGUCCGACGUUCCGGGCCGCGUGGUCUGGGGGAACUUCGUGGAGAUGAGGUUGUGUGAGGCAGUUCGCUCAUUCUGCCAGAAGAUGGAGUAGUCAGCCGUGGACCUGAGGUGAGUGGUGCAGCUCAACUCUAGCUUCGCGAAUGGCCGCGGAGAGCGCAGGAGGCAGCGUGGUAGAUGGUUGUGGCAUCUCAAAAGUAACUUCGCAGCCAGGCAUUUAAAGUCUUUCCAUGCCAAACCGGUCCAGGGAUUGGUGCUUCCAUCUCGGCCGUCCACCCAGGUAAUCUCGGGCAAUGGGAACAGCAAUCACUUUCGAAUUCCUUCAGCCCAAAGCACAACCGCGGGUCCACCGGGACUCUCCGACAUAGCUCGAGCCAAAAGGGAAUUGUAGCCCAGCUUAGUUUGUUUGCCACGUCAAGGAAGGGCGGUGCAUAUCUGCAAGUAAACAAAACUCGGGGUUCUGUACGAUUGGCCGGGGUCUUACAUGCUCGCCGAAUUGGAUUUGAGAAUCAAUCUUCCGACGGGUCUCCUGACUUGAACAGGGGAAAGGGGGAGGGGGAGUGUGUUAUCUUGUCGCGAACCAAUAA